rnacentral:rRNA from 1 species
AUUGAACGCUGGCGGCAGGCCUAACACAUGCAAGUCGAACGAGUGGCGGACGGGUGAGUAAUGUCUGGGAAACUGCCUGAUGGAGGGGGAUCACUACUGGAAACGGUCGCUAAUACCGCAUACCAACGGUUGAUCCCAGAUGGGAUUAGCGAGUAGGUGGGGUAACGGCUCACCUAGGCGACGAUCCCUAGAUGGUCUGAGAGGUUGACCAGCCACACUGUAAUUGAGACACGGUCCAGACUCCUACGGGAGGCAGCAGUGGGGAAUAUUGCACCAUGGGCGCAAGCCUGAUGCAGCCCUGCCGCGUGUAUGAAGAAGGCCUUCGGGUUGUAAAGUACUUUCAGCGGGGAGGCGUUACCCGCAGAAGAAGCACCGGCUAACUCCGGGCCAGCAGCCGCGGUAAUAC